rnacentral:rRNA from 1 species
UACGUAGGGUGCAAGCGUUGUCCGGAAUUAUUGGGCGUAAAGAGCUCGUAGGCGGUCUGUCGCGUCGGCUGUGAAAACUCGGGGCUCAACCCCGAGCCUGCAGUCGAUACGGGCAGACUAGAGUGCUGUAGGGGAGACUGGAAUUCCUGGUGUAGCGGUGAAAUGCGCAGAUAUCAGGAGGAACACCGGUGGCGAAGGCGGGUCUCUAGUACGGUACUGACGCUGGGACGCGAAAGCGUGGGGAGCGAACAGG